rnacentral:rRNA from 1 species
UACGUAGGUGACAAGCGUUGUCCGGAUUUACUGGGCGUAAAGAGCGCGCAGGCGGUCGAUCAAGUCGAGUGUGAAAGCCCCCGGCUCAACUGGGGAGGGUCAUUCGAUACUGAUCGACUCGAAGGCAGGAGAGGGUAGUGGAAUUCCCGGUGUAGUGGUGAAAUGCGUAGAUAUCGGGAGGAACACCAGUGGCGAAGGCGACUACCUGGCCUGUUCUUGACGCUGAGGCACGAAAGCGUGGGGAGCAAACAGG